GAAAUGCGAUAAGUAAUGUGAAUUGCAGAAUUCCGUGAAUCAUCGAAUCUUUGAACGCACAUUGCGCCCUCUGGUAUUCCGGGGGGCAUGCCUGUCCGAGCGUCAUUGCGAACCCCUCAAGCACGGCUUGUGUGAUGGGCCCUCCCGCGUCUUGGUCGUCAAGACGGGCCCGAAAUGCAGUGGCGGCUUCGCGGUUAUCCGAUCAGCCAGAGCGUAUGGGGACUUUCUCUCUGUCACACGCCCGCGGCGCGGACCGACGCCUGUCGACCUUCAUUCAUCGUUUUCUCGGUUGACCUCGGAUCAGGUAGGGAUACCCACUGAACUUAAGC
rnacentral:misc_RNA from 1 species